AUGGCUUCUACGUGCCAUUCCUCCGCCUCUACCUCACCGGCUCUCGCAGCCUCAGUCGCCACGGUAAUUCAUCCUCUAGUUCCAUGUUUUUUGAGCCUUAGGGAAGAUAAGAAGCAUGUGAAAUAUAUUCAGGAACAUGUGAGGAAGAACCGGCUGACGACGGGCAAGGGCAUGGGGUACCUGGAGGCCAAGCACCACCUGCUGCUGAGCUACUGCCAGGGCCUUGUCUACUACCUGCUAUGCAAGGCCAAUGGGCUGGCUGUCGAUGGCCAGCCUGUUGCGCGCAGCCUUGUCGAGAUCAGGCUGUUUCUUGAGAAGAUUCGCCCAAUAGACAAGAAGAUGGAGUACCAGAUCCAGCAACUCACCAAUGCCGCAGAUGGGGCGGCAGCCCAGGAUAAGGCGCCAGGCGCCAAGGUCAAUGGGAAGGGCGGGCAACAAGGUGAGGGCGACCUGUUGGGGUACCGGCCAAACCCGGAUAUGAUGGAUAUCAAAAUUGCUCCUAAAGGACACAGAAAAUUAAUAGAGAAAAUAUACAGUAAAAAGGCCGAAUUGUUCAGGCAGAAACAGUUGUCAAGGUCGUCGACUGGAUUCGGGGAUCUGCCGACGGGCGCGUUCGUCGAGUGA
rnacentral:rRNA from 1 species